rnacentral:lncRNA from 1 species
GGAAAGUUCACUAAGCCAAUUGCAUGCCUUUCACAGUGGUGGGCAUGUACUUCCCAAUUAGUCCCACUGAGCCAGCAAGACUGUUUGCCUGAGAGCCUUCAUCACUGAAAAACAAAACAAAACAAACAAAAAACCAAAACAAAAUAAAAACAAACAAACAAACAAAAAACAACCCAAAGAGGAUCACAGUCUGGCACUUUGCAAUUAGCACAACAUUGUCAGGGUUUCACUUUCCUGCUUAAAUCCUGUAAUGAGCAGCCAUUGGAAAAGGAGGUAAAUAAAGCUGUCAUGCAUAUUGACAGUAAUACAAUAUCACUGCUCAUUUUUUUUCUGAAAGUUAGAAUUGCAGAAUUAACGUGGCACAUGAUGUUCUACCCUCUCCAGCUAAACAUAUACCAGCUGCAGUCUUUUUAAGUCUCCUAUCAUUUUGUUAGCACAAUGACUGCCUACGUGAGCAAAAAAACAUGGAAACUGCAUCCUACCACAGUUGACAAGAUUUUUUAUUUUCAUGAUUACUUCUCUGCCUUUUUUUAUUUUGCCUGCAGGCAAAGGUUGGCAUACAUGUCAAGAGAACAUUCUCCAGCUGGGGCCUGCAGUAUAGAGAAUUGUAUACUCCAGAGGGCUCAUGGGACCUUAGGCAGAUUAUUAUGGUAAUAUUGGAGACUGCUGUCCUUUCCCUCCCACAGCUGGGCCGCCUCUCUCAUUGUUCUCCUGGAAAUCAGGGCCUGAGCUAUCUUCCUCCUUUCCUUCCUUUUUGUACCCUGAAUUCCUCUUUUCAGUUUUGUUAUGCUCAAACAAAAGUGAUGGAGGACUUGAAGGCCACUCACCCAUCAAUAGUUUUCAUUAGAACUUCCAGUAAGAAACUUUCUCUGUUAUCAGAUGGACUUUUCUUCUGAAAUAUGCUUCUUGAGUUCCCAAAGAUUAUG